UCUCACAGUCCUUAAUGGAUCAGUACUUUGCCCGUAUGCGCUCCUUGAUGUCAAGUAAGGAAUUGCCAGCAAGGAUUCGUUUCCUGCUGCAGGAUACUGUGGAGUUGAGAGAACACAACUGGGUUCCUCGCAAAGCUUUUCUUGACAAUGGACCAAAGACUAUCAAU